rnacentral:lncRNA from 1 species
GCUCCACCACAAUGAUCUUGCCUGUGACUGGGACUCCUGAGGCUGAACUUGGAAACACUGAAAGUGUCAUCCUCUUCCUCUGCUUUCAAAGAAGAUAAUGCUAUUAUUGAAAGUUGAUGCAGAUUGAAGUUGUGCCAUUGAUUGGACUUUGGAGGCCAUCUGGAGUCCCCAGUUGACCCACAUGGAGGUUCUGCAGGGUCUAGCACUCUAUCAAAGAGCCAGCUGCCAAUGAGAACGGGCAUCUGGCACUCCUAUCUUCUCCACUGCAUCUUCCAGCUUCCCUGUCUUCCCACUUGUAUUUGCUUCCGGUAGCCUUGGGCCUAUUCUCAACUUCAGCCCUCAGACCCGGCACUCAAUGCUGUUCUUCUGCAGAGUGUAUCUUACUAGCCUUGACUACAUCUCACAUUUGCCUGGUGGAUUAUGUUCUGCUCUUCCUGCUCCAGGUAAACAUCAGCUUACCUGAACCGUAAGUGAAGCAAAUUGGAACAGGAGAGAAACAUGGAAGAAGACAUCUCACCUCUCAGGGGGGUUCUGACCACCCAGGCUAGUCAUAUAGACCCCGAUCCAGACGAAGCAGUCCCACAUGCAGAAGCACCAGCUCCAGUUCAGACUCCACUUGAAGAUGCUUCAUCCACAGCAAGUCAAGGGGUUGGUGUGGGGCAGAAAGGCAUUGGGCAAGAAGAGAAUGAUGAGAUGGGGAAAAUGUCUGGUUUUAGCUUGUGCACAAGUGUCCCAGAUGUGGCUCUGCUUCAUGACUCAUCUAAAAGGACAUCCUGUGCUGCUAAGAGGGGGGAGAAGAUAGGGAAGAAAAACAGCCGUAAAAGAAGGAAUAGAAAAGAAGUAGCAGAUCCAGUCCAGACUCUUCUUCAGGGCGAGUCUCCUGCUGCGAGUAGAGAAGUGAAUGCCGGCUGGGAAAGCCAGCCUCGUCUGGAUAGUGAGGAAGAGAGCAAGGCUGGUCUUCCUUGGUCUGGAGGAGCAGAGGCUGCUGGCUGCUUCUCUGCCACGGCUCCGUUGCAGACUUCACUUGAUACAGAGAAGCAAAACUUCUUUAUCCUCUAUCUUCUUUCCCAUAAAUAAAUAAAUAAAUAAAUGUAGCGAAAGAUCUGUUGUUUAUGA